UACGGAAUGUGCAAACGUUACUCGGAAUCACUGGGCUUAAAGAGUCCGUAGGCGGCUUGUUAGGUGAGGUGUGAAAUCCCUCGGCCCAACCGAGGAAUUGCGCUUCAAACCGGCAAGCUAGAGGAGGAUAGAGGUGGGCGGAACUGAUGGUGGAGCGGUGAAAUGCGUUGAUAUCAUCAGGAACACCGGAGGCGAAGGCGGUCCACUGGGUCCUUUCUGACGCUGAGGGACGAAAGCUAGGGGAGCGAACGGG
rnacentral:rRNA from 1 species